rnacentral:snRNA from 1 species
AAAGAAGCUCAUUGAGGCUUCU